UACGAAGGGUGCAAGCGUUACUCGGAAUUACUGGGCGUAAAGCGUGACGUAGGUGGUGAGUUAAGUCUGUCGUGAAAGCCCCGGGCUCAACCCUGGGAAUGGCGAUGGAUACUGGCUCGCUAGAGUGCGGAAGAGGCGAGUGGAAUUCCUGGUGUAGCGGUGAAAUGCGCAGAUAUCAGGAGGAGCACCAAUGGCGAAGGCAGCUCGCUGGGACGGUACUGACGCUGGAGACGCGAAAGCGUGGGGAGCAAACAGG
rnacentral:rRNA from 1 species